GAUGAACGCUGGCGGCGUGCCUAAUACAUGCAAGUCGAGCGAACAGACGAGGAGCUUGUUCCUCUGGCGUUAGCGGCGGACGGGUGAGUAACACGUGGGUAACCUACCUAUAAGACUGGGAUAACUUCGGGAAACCGAAGCUAAUACCGGAUAAAAUAUUGAACCACAUGGUUCAAGAGUGAAAGACGGUUUUGCUGUAACUUAUGGAUAUAUCCGCUCGGCUUUGGCUAGUUGGUAAGGUAAGGGCUUCCAAAGGCAAGGAUGAGAAGCCACCCUAGAAGGGUAGCCGGCACAACGGGACUGGGACCCCGCCCCAGACCCCUCGGGGAGGAAGCGGAAGGGAAUCUUCCGCAAUGGGGAAAGGCUUAACGGAGCAACGCCGGGGAAGGGAUGAAGGUCUUCGGAUGUUAAAACUCUGUUAUAAGGGAAGACGUAAUGUGUAAGUAACUAUGCACGUAUUGACGGUACCUAAUCAGAAAGCCACGGCUAACUACGUG
rnacentral:rRNA from 1 species